CGUCUCAUUCGGAUUGUAGUCUGCAACUCGACUACAUGAAGCUGGAAUCGCUAGUAAUCGCGAAUCAGAAUGUCGCGGUGAAUACGUUCCCGGGUCUUGUACACACCGCCCGUCACACCAUGGGAGUUGGGAAUGCCCGAAGCCGGUGACCUAACCGAAAGGGAGGAGCCGUCGAAGGCAGGCUUGAUAACUGGGGUGAAGUCGUAACAAGGUAGC
rnacentral:rRNA from 1 species